CAAUAGCGUAUAUUAAAGUUGUUGCAGUUAAAAAGCUCGUAGUUGGAUUUCUGGUCGGAAGCUCCUGUCCUCUGAUGAGCUUACAAGUGCGUCCUACCAUCCUUCUGUUAACCUUUAAGGCUUUCGCGGCUUUCUAGGGGCUCAGAUAUUUUACCUUGAGAAAAUUAGAGUGUUUCAGGCAGGCUAGCGCCGGAAUACAUUAGCAUGGAAUAAUGGAAUAGGACUUUUGCCUCUUCUGUUGGUCAUGAGGCUCGAGUAAUGAUUAAUAGGGAUAGUUGGGGGCAUUAGUACUUAACUGUCAGAGGUGAAAUUCUCGGAUUUGUUAAAGACUAACUUAUGCGAAAGCAUUUGCCAAGGAUGUUUUCAUUAA
rnacentral:rRNA from 1 species